UACGGGGGGGGUAAGCGUUGUUCGGAAUUACUGGGCGUAAAGGGCUCGUAGGCGGCCAACUAAGUCAUACGUGAAAUCCCUCGGCUUAACCGGGAACUGCGUCUGAUACUGGAUGGCUUGAGAUUGGGAGAGGGAUGCGGAAUUCCAGGUGUAGCGGUGAAAUGCGUAGAUAUCUGGAGGAACACCGGUGGCGAAGGCGGCUCACUGGACUGGUAUUGACGCUGAGGUGCGAAAGCGUGGGGAGCAAACAGG
rnacentral:rRNA from 1 species